GCUUGGAAUCCAACCAAGAUGAGAAGUCCUUAAACCUAGGAAAAUGAAUAAUGUUUGAGGAUUUCCUCGGUUCCCAUUUUGGCAGGAAAAUGGCAUAGCUGGCAUUCCAGAACUGGAUUUAUCAUCUCUAAGUCUAAAUCUAGAAGUCUAUAUACUAAGCUGUGUAACUAGAUGAUAAAUGAGGAUAUUGAUAAUAUAGGCAUCAUGGAAAGUUGGUGGACUGAAGAUAAUCAAUGGGAUGCAGUAAUACCAGGACCUUCACAGAGGGAAACACAAAAGGAGAUUAGAACAAAACCUACAAAAAAGUGAACAAAAUAAUUGAUAUAAACAAAAUAUGGCUGGCGUAUGGGAUGGCACAAAGUUUUUAUUGCCAGUUAUUUGGGAAGACUGCUAUGAUUUAUUCGUGACUCCACUGAGAUCAAACUCAUGGCAACAGAAAUUUCAUACGCUUGAGUUCCCAGCGAGAGAAAGGAAGACAAUUUUUUCCAGACCUUAAAGUGUAUCUACAAAAUAAGGACCUGCACCUGCAAUAUAUUGAGCACACUAGAUUUCCAGUGACUUUAGCUGAAGUUAAGUACCACAGAGGAUCAAGACCUUCAAAAACAUAAAGAUAAAAGGGUGAGAUUAUCAGAGGAGCCUAACAAAGUGUCUGAAUAUGGCAUUCCCUGAAAGCUACCAGAUUGGCAGCCAAAGCCUUCCGUAUAUAACUACAGAACAGAUCUCUCAUCACUAAAUUAUCCAAGUGUCUGGAUUUGCAUCUGGAGAAGGAUUUGAUUAUGAGAUUGUCUGUUACCAAACAGGAAGAUUCACAUUGGAAGCUUAAAAACAGAAUCUAUCCUGCUGCCUCUUUGUUUAUUGGAAGUAUAAAUGAAGAGUGUGUCAUCAUGAGAAGCAUACAGUACUUUUCAUCUUAUUAUUUCUUUCAUACUUUCUUUCCACACUAUCAGCUGGAUAUUUUUAAGAUGAAAAAGUGACAUGGCUAAUUGCUACAAUUAGAGCUACUGCUGCUAAAAGCAAUUAUGCCUAUAAAUUCAAAAAACAAACCAAAC